UCACAAGUGAGAUGGCUGGAGACCCCUCCAGUCCUACAAUGAAGUUGGCAUGAUGCUCAGGAGUGUGGAGGCAAAGCUCUCUCUCUUCCUCCAUUAAUGGCCCCAUCCCUAGCUCGGAGGUGAUGGCUCAUUCUGUAUACAGCUUCUAAGUGCUCGGUCUGCUCUGCAUCUGAGGAUUUCCCCUUAGGCAUCGUCUAGUACAUAUGCUGCUGCUUACUACAUUAAAAUGCUCCCGUUUUUUACCUCAGGUAUUUAGGCAGGUCGUAUGAAUCACUCCGGUAAUAAAGCAACAAUACAUCUCAAGGUGAAAAAUCAGCGCUUGUCGGGUUGGAACUUCCAUCUGCGGCAGUUUAUAACUUCAUUAUCCUCAGAGAAGGUUUAGUACACACAAGAUACUAGAGACAACUUGCUUUCUCUUAUGGAACUGAGCAUAUAGGAAACGAGACCAUUUUACUAAGAAUCAGCAUUCCUUCCAAGAGAGAAUUGUAAGUAAACAGUGGUAAUACAGUGUACUUUAGAAAAAGCAGUAUUUUUCUGCCCCUUGAUCUCUAACAGUCUUAAGCCAAUUUUGGCAGGUACUGCUGUAUUAAGUGGUCAGUCUCCCAUCGUGGUCACAUACUGUUUUAUUGGAGGUCUGACAGCAGCAAUAGGAGAGAUAAAAUUAACCCUUUGGUACCAAAGGCUGUGACAGAUCCUAUUGCCAGCAAUGGGGAAUGCAUCAAGAAUUUCCACCUCUCAGCCUCAUGGGGUUAAUGGCAAUCUGUUGCUGAAUUCCCCGGAUAAUCAGAGUAGCAAACACUGGGCUUUUUAAUGAGCCCCUGAGGACAAUGCUGGCGCACAAGGCUGUGAAGAUCUGGACAAACCAAGGAAACGUAAAAUGAAAACAAACAUGGACGUUUAUUUUCCUAACUCAC